GCUGCCGCGGGCGGCAGGGGACUGAGGGUCAAACCCGAACUCCAGCGGUUCCCCUCAGAUAGUGGGACCAACCCGGAGCUCCAGUGCGGCAGGACCCGGCCCGGGCUGCCCCAGCUGCGCCUCGCUUCCGGCUACAAGUUUGCCCCGUGCCCGCCAAAUUGUAUCUCACCAACAUCCUUCAUUGUUAUUUUAUUUUCACCUGUAGACUUGCCGAAAAAGAGAUUUCGAAGGGCAUCACAAGCAUUCUUCUGAACUUCCAAAACUCUGUGGCCCAAAAGAGAAAGCAAGACAUUGAGAGGUUUGGUAGUAUGCCCAUACUUGCAUGUCUGUGCACCAAGAAGCAAGAAGCCAAAGACAGCUGUUUCUGACUACAAAGACCAUUCUCGCUUUACCAUACCAUGCAACAACUUGGACUAUCAGAGAGGCUGCAACUUGCCCAUGCUGAUGAGCCCAGAGAUGAACCCAGAAGCUCCAUGUCCACACUCCAUGCUGGAAGCUCCUUCCUUAGGGUUGCAUUACCCUGAGUCAGCAGCAGGAAGCCAGAGAGCAGUAAUGGUAACUUACAUAACAAGACGUGUGGCUGAACUAGUUUUUUU
rnacentral:lncRNA from 10 species